UGCCUUCUAAUAGGAGUCUCUAGACCACUAAUUAAAUGUAACCAUCAAUAUAGCAGAUUUAAGUCUCUCAUGCUAUUUGUUUCUAUUUGUACCAUUUAUUAGGGUUUUUGAAAGUAAAAAUGUUGGGGAUUUUCUUUUAGUUCCUUCAUCUCUUAUUUCAGCAGGCCGCAGAUUUCCUUCCACUGGAGGUGAAGUCAGGUGUGUGAGAAGCUCACUGCGGGGUCCUGGGUCACAUUUUUCGAAGUAUUUCCUAUUAGUACUUGGGAUAGUAAAAGUGUUUAUUUAUUUAUUUAUUUUUAAAAAGAGCUAUCUGUUAAAAUAAUUUGAGGAAAACAGUGGGUUAAAGAUAAUUUAGGCUGGGCCUGGUGGCUCACACCUGUAAUCCUAGCAUUUUGGGAGGUUGAGGCAGGAGGAUGACUUGAGGUCAGGAGUUCAAGAUCAGCCUGGGCAAUAUGGUGAAACGCUGUCUCUACCAAAACUACAAAAAAUUAGCUGGGCAUGGUGGCGGGCUACUCAGGAGGGUGAGGUGAGAGGAUUGCUUGAGCCUGGGAGGCGGAGGUUGCAAUAAGCCGAGUUUGCGCCACUGCACUCCAGCCUGAGUGACAGAGCCAGAGUCUGUCUCAAAACAAAUGAACAAACAAAAACAAACAAACAAACAGAUAGGUUAAAAAAUACCUUUGUUUUUGUGUGUAGGUUUGUUUUAAAUUCAGGACUCCUUGGAGGUUUUAACAUAUUCAUGUAUACUUCAGUAAAUUGCCCAACUUAUUUGACAAUAGAGUCACAUUUUUAAGGCACUCCUGGCACUCACGCUUAUGAAAUGUAUUUUAGGAAACUCUGCUUUACAGUUUUCUUGCAAGCAUUUGAUUCUCCUCUUACAGUAGAGUCCAGUCACAAAGGGUCUGAACAGGCUCUUUCCAGGGAGUCAUUCUUGGGACGAUGGGAGGCCAGCAGUGUGGAGGCCCAGGAUCUCCACGCAAAAGUUGCGAUUUCUGAUCUGAAGCCCAAAAAAGGAUAGGAAUGCAAGGUGCAGAGUGGCCUAGUUUAAGAGAAAGCACAUCAUAUUUAAUACUUAACAGCUAUUAAUUUAAGCUAGUCAGCUUCUUAUUUGAAAUAUUCCUUCAUGGUUUUCUUUUUUAAAAAAAUGUAUUACAAAAUAUCUUCCUAGUCACUAAACCAGUUGAAUUCUGGAAAGAGGGAGAAUAUUCCCAGCUUUUGUGUAAAAGACAAUGAAGACCUUAAAAUGAUUAAAACAAAAUUGUGUAAUGGCAGCCUGCAAGUGUGUUUUGUUUGCCUGAAAAGAGUUUCACAUUUAAAAAAUCAAUUACAAAGAAAAAUUACUGAUUGUCAAACAUUGAAGUAUGGAGAAAUUCGCUUAGAAAUUUGCAUUCCCGGAUUCUCUCUGCGGACACAUGUGGCAGGCCCUCUCCGAGCACAGCAGCAGCCUGUGGGCAGCACGGGUCCUGGGUGGACUGCACCCCUCCCCUGCCCCGCUCACUGGGCUGCUCCUGGACCCCUCUUGGCCCCGUAGGGCCUUGAGUGUGUGACUUCUGAACAACCAGGUUUUGUUGUUACCAUUGCUGUUCCCUUGAUGAGUCAAUAGCCACCAUGCCACGUCCUGUGUCAUCUGAGGCGCUGGUGUCAGCGGAAUGGACCCUGAGAGUUGCUGUCUUCACCAGAUGCAGCCUCUU
rnacentral:lncRNA from 1 species